GGCUCAGGAUGAACGCUGGCGGCGUGCUUAACACAUGCAAGUCGAACGAAGAUGCCGGAGUGCUUGCACUUUGGCAGACUGAGUGGCGGACGGGUGAGUAACACGUAUGCAACCUGCCCUUGUCAGGGGGAUAAGCGAGGGAAACCUCGUCUAAUACCGCAUAUAUGGUUUUGAGGCAUCUCUUAAUCAGGAAAGAAUUAUCGGACAAGGAUGGGCAUGCGGGACAUUAGGUAGUUGGGGGUGUAACGGACCACCAAGCCGACGAUGUCUAGGGGUUCUGAGAGGAAGGUCCCCCAUACUGGUACUGAGACACGGACCAGACUCCUACGGGAGGCAGCAGUGAGGAAUAUUGGUCAAUGGGCGAGAGCCUGAACCAGCCAAGUCGCGUGAGGGAAGACGGUACUAAGUAUUGUAAACCUCUUUUGUCAGGGAACAAAGAGACCACGUGUGGUAAGAUGAGUGUACCUGAAGAAAAAGCAUCGGCUAACUCCGUG
rnacentral:rRNA from 1 species